rnacentral:rRNA from 1 species
UACGGGGGGGGCAAGCGUUGUUCGGAAUUACUGGGCGUAAAGGGCUCGUAGUCGGCCAACUAAGUCAUACGUGAAAUCCCUCGGCUUAACCGGGGAACUGCGUCUGAUACUGGAUGGCUUGAGAUUGGGAGAGGGAUGCGGAAUUCCAGGUGUAGCGGUGAAAUGCGUAGAUAUCUGGAGGAACACCGGUGGCGAAGGCGGCAUCCUGGACCAACACUGACGCUGAGGAGCGAAAGCCAGGGGAGCAAACGGG